AGUGGGGAAUAUUGCGCAAUGGGGGAAACCCUGACGCAGCCAUGCCGCGUGAGUGAAGAAGGCCUUAGGGUUGUAAAACUCUUUCAGUGGUGAAGAUAAUGACGGUAGCCACAGAAGAAGCCCCGGCCAACUCCGUGCCAGCAGCCGCGGUAAUACGGAGGGGGCUAGCGUUGUUCGGAAUUACUGGGCGUAAAGCGCGCGUAGGCGGGCUGGUUAGUUGGGGGUGAAAUCCCAGGGCUCAACCCUGGAACUGCCCUCAAUACUGCCAGUCUUGAGUUCGAGAGAGGUAAGCGGAAUUCCUAGUGUAGAGGUGAAAUUCGUAGAUAUUAGGAAGAACACCAGUGGCGAAGGCGGCUUACUGGCUCGAUACUGACGCUGAGGCGCGAAAGCGUGGGGAGCAAACAGGAUUAGAUACCCUGGUAGUCCACGCCGUAAACGAUGGGUGCUAGUUGUCAGGCAGCAUGCUGUUUGGUGACGCAGCUAACGCGUUAAGCACCCCGCCUGGGGACUACGGUCGCAAGACUAAAACUCAAAGGAAUUGACGGGGGCCCGCACAAGCGGUGGAGCAUGUGGUUUAAUUCGAGGCAACGCGAAGAACCUUACCGGCCCUUGACAUACCAAUCGCGGAUAGCAGAGAUGCUUUCCUUCAGUUCGGCUGGAUUGGAUACAGGUGCUGCAUGGUUGUCGUCAGCUCGUGUCGUGAGAUGUUGGGUUAAGUCCCGCAACGAGCGCAACCCUCGCCUUUAGUUGCCAGCAUUAAGUUGGGCACUCUAGAGGGACUGCCGGUGAUAAGCCGGAGGAAGGUGGGGAUGACGUCAAAUCAUCAUGGCCCUUACGGGCCGGGCUACACACGUGCUACAAUGGCGGUGACAGUGAGCAGCCACUCAGCGAUGAGGAGCUAAUCUCUAAAAGCCGUCUCAGUUCGGAUUGUUCUCUGCAACUCGAGAGCAUGAAGUUGGAAUCGCUAGUAAUCGUGGAUCAGCAUGCCACGGUGAAUACGUUCCCGGGCCUUGUACACACCGCCCGUCACACCAUGGGAGUUGGUUUUACCCGAAGACUGUGAGCUAACUUUUAGAGGCAGCAGGCCACGGUAAGGUCAGCGACUGGGGUG
rnacentral:rRNA from 1 species